rnacentral:lncRNA from 1 species
AUGUAUAAUGUGCUGCACUAAGCACAGAAAUUUAACACGAGCUGAGAGAGAGCUGAGCUUCUCAUUGUGGGUGCAGGGUUUGCUGUAGCUGACACCACGCUAGCUGAGUCCCGUGCCUGCUGUGGCAUUUGGCACUGUCUUAUGAUUCAGCUUACAAAUUACUACUACUGUGGGAACUCCCUCUCUUUCAGACUCGUCUAAGAAAUGAAUGGUAGCUGGGGAUUUAGCUCAGUGGUUCUGGCGCCUGCCUUCCAAACGCAAGGUCCCAAGUUCAGUCCCCAGUACACACACACACAAGAAAUGAAUGGUAGAGCUUUGAAAUUUUUCUUAGAUCUUCUGAUCCGGUGUACUAUGCUUACUUUUUAAAAUUUUAUUUUUUGCUGAGUAUCAAACCCAAGGCCUGGCACAUGUUAGACAAGGGCUUUCCCACUGAGCUACACCCCAGCCUGCUCAAUGUCACAAACUUCAUGUGAUUGUAAGUGAAAGAAAUCUGCUUUUUAGGUUGAGUGCUGCCAGGUUUGUCUUAGGAUGGCUCUACAAGGAUGAGAACCCCAAGAUCCAGACCAUGGCAGUGAGCAUCUUCUCCAUCCUUGCCCUGCAGCUAACACGUGAGCAGGUUACACAACUUGAUGAAGAUCUCUUUAUGGCAGUUAAGUGCUGGGGAUUGAACCCAGGGGCCCCAUGAAUGCUAAGCAUAUGGCCUACGACUGAGCUACAUGAGCUACGUCCCUGGGCCUUUUUCUUCUCUC